UAAGUCUAAGUGACAAGCUGCUGCUCG
rnacentral:sRNA from 1 species